UACUCCUACGGGAGGCAGCAGUGGGGAAUUUUGGACAAUGGGCGAAAGCCUGAUCCAGCAAUGCCGCGUGUGUGAAGAAGGCCUUCGGGUUGUAAAGCACUUUUGUCCGGAAAGAAAUGGCUCUGGUUAAUACCCGGAGUCGAUGACGGUACCGGAAGAAUAAGGACCGGCUAACUACGUGCCAGCAGCCGCGGUAAUACGUAGGGUCCAAGCGUUAAUCGGAAUUACUGGGCGUAAAGCGUGCGCAGGCGGCUGUGCAAGACCGAUGUGAAAUCCCCGGGCUUAACCUGGGAAUUGCAUUGGUGACUGCACGGCUAGAGUGUGUCAGAGGGAGGUAGAAUUCCACGUGUAGCAGUGAAAUGCGUAGAGAUGUGGAGGAAUACCGAUGGCGAAGGCAGCCUCCUGGGAUAACACUGACGCUCAUGCACGAAAGCGUGGGGAGCAAACAGGAUUAGAUACCCUGGUAGUCCACGCCCUAAACGAUGUCAACUAGUUGUUGGGGAUUCAUUUCCUUAGUAACGUAGCUAACGCGUGAAGUUGACCGCCUGGGGAGUACGGUCGCAAGAUUAAAACUCAAAGGAAUUGACGGA
rnacentral:rRNA from 1 species